AGCGAACGCUGGCGGCAGGCCUAACACAUGCAAGUCGAACGGAUCCUUCGGGAUUAGUGGCGGACGGGUGAGUAACACGUGGGAACGUGCCCUUUGGUUCGGAACAACUCAGGGAAACUUGAGCUAAUACCGGAUGUGCCCUUCGGGGGAAAGAUUUAUCGCCAUUGGAUCGGCCCGCGUCUGAUUAGCUAGUUGGUGAUGUAACGGCCCACCAAGGCGACGAUCAGUAGCUGGUCUGAGAGGAUGAUCAGCCACACUGGGACUGAGACACGGCCCAGACUCCUACGGGAGGAAGCAGUGGGGAAUCUUGCGCAGUGGGCGAAAGCCUGACGCAGCCAUGCCGCGUGAAUGAUGAAGGGCUUAGGAUUGUAAAAUUCUUUCAGCGGGGACGAUAAUGACGGUACCCGCAGAAGAAGCUCCGGCUAACUUCGU
rnacentral:rRNA from 1 species